UACGUAGGGGGCGAGCGUUGUCCGGAUUUAUUGGGCGUAAAGAGCGUGUAGGCGGCCAGGUAGGUCAGCUGUGAAAACUCGAGGCUCAACCUCGAGAUGUCGGCUGAAACCAUCUGGCUAGAGUCCGGAAGAGGAGAAUGGAAUUCCCGGUGUAGUGGUGAUAUGCGUAGAUAUCGGGAGGAAUACCAGUGGCGAAGGCGGUUCUCUGGGCCUUACCUGACGCUGAGACGCGAAAGCGUGGGGAGCGAACCGG
rnacentral:rRNA from 1 species